rnacentral:rRNA from 1 species
GACGAACGCUGGCGGCGUGCUUAACACAUGCAAGUCGAACGGAAAGGCCCCUUCGGGGGUCCUCGAGUGGCGAACGGGUGAGUAACACGUGAGUAACCUGCCCUUGACUUCGGGAUAACUUCAGGAAACUGGGGCUAAUACCGGAUAGGAAUCCUUGCUGCAUGGUGGGGGUUGGAAAGCUUCGGCGGUUUUGGAUGGACUCGCGGCUUAUCAGCUUGUUGGUGGGGUAGUGGCUUACCAAGGCUAUGACGGGUAGCCGGCCUGAGAGGGCGACCGGCCACAUUGGGACUGAGAUACGGCCCAGACUCCUACGGGAGGCAGCAGUGGGGAAUAUUGCACAAUGGGCGGAAGCCUGAUGCAGCAACGCCGCGUGCGGGAUGACGGCCUUCGGGUUGUAAACCGCUUUCAGCAGGGGCGAAGCUUGUGGUGACGGUACCUGCAGAAGAAGCACCGGCUAACUACGUG